rnacentral:rRNA from 1 species
CUCGAGUGCCAGCACCUAGUGCUGGCUGUCCCGCUGUCUAAAUAACAGUGGUUAGCAAGGGCCGGGCAAGACCGGUGCCAGCCGCCGCGGUAACACCGGCGGCCCGAGUGGUAACCGUUUUUAUUGGGUUUAAAGGGUCCGUAGCCGGCUUACUAAGUCUCUUGGGAAAUCUGGCGGCUCAAUCGUCAGGCGGCGAAGAGAUACUGAUAGUCUUGGGACCGAGAGAGGUGGGAGAUUCUCCAGGGGUAGGGGUGAAAUCUUGUAAUCCUUGGGGCACCACCGAUGGAGAAGGCAUCCCAACAAAACGCCUCCGACGGAGAGAGACGAAAGCUGGGGGCAAAAACCGUAUUAUAUACCCGGAUAGUCCCAGCUGUAAACGAUGCUCGCUAGGUGUCAGGUGCGGUGCGCCCCCCAUCGGGCGCCGCAGAGAAAACUUGAAGCGAGCCACCUGGAAAGUACGGUCGCAAGGCUGAAACUUUAA